AACGAACGCUGGCGGCGCGCUUAACACAUGCAAGUCGAACGAGAAGGCGUAGCAAUACGCUUGUACAGUGGCGAACGGGUGAGGAAUACAUGGGUAACCUACCCUCGAGUGGGGGAUAACCCGCCGAAGGCGGGCUAAUACCGCGUACGCUUCCGAUCUUGCGGGAUCGGAAGGAAAGCUGUCCCUUGGGGAUGGCGCUCAAGGAUGGGCUCAUGUCCUAUCAGCUUGUUGGAGGGUAACGGCCUACCAAGGCAUCGACGGGUAGGCUGGUCUGAGAGGACGGAUCAGCCACACUGGCACUGCGACACGGGCCAGACUCCUACGGGAGGCAGCAGUGAGGAAUAUUGCGCAAUGGGCGAAAGCCUGACGCAGCGACGCCGCGUGGGGGAG
rnacentral:rRNA from 1 species